UACGUAGGGUGCAAGCAUUGUCCGGAAUUAUUGGGCGUAAAGAGCUCGUAGGCGGUUUGUCGCGUCUGCUGUGAAAACUCGGGGCUUAACCCCGGGCCUGCAUUCGAUACGGGCAGGCUAGAGUUCGGUAGGGGAGACUGGAAUUCCUGGUGUAGCGGUGAAAUGCGCAGAUAUCAGGAGGAACACCGGUGGCGAAGGCGGGUCUCUGGGCCGAUACUGACGCUGAGGAGCGAAAGCGUGGGGAGCGAACAGG
rnacentral:rRNA from 1 species